rnacentral:rRNA from 1 species
UACGUAGGGGGCAAGCGUUAUCCGGAUUUACUGGGUGUAAAGGGAGCGUAGACGGCGAUGCAAGCCAGAUGUGAAAGCCCGGGGCUCAACCCCGGGACUGCAUUUGGAACUGUGUGGCUGGAGUGUCGGAGAGGCAAGUGGAAUUCCUAGUGUAGCGGUGAAAUGCGUAGAUAUUAGGAGGAACACCAGUGGCGAAGGCGGCUUGCUGGACGAUGACUGACGUUGAGGCUCGAAAUCGUGGGGAGCAAACAGG